rnacentral:piRNA from 1 species
UUGAAACCUUUAUAUAGAGACAGGGA